UACGGGGGGGGCAAGCGUUGUUCGGAAUUACUGGGCGUAAAGGGCGCGUAGGCGGCCUUCUAAGUCAGACGUGAAAUCCCUCGGCUCAACCGAGGAACUGCGUCUGAUACUGGAAGGCUUGAAUCCGGGAGAGGUGAGUGGAAUUCCUAGUGUAGAGGUGAAAUUCGUAGAUAUUAGGAAGAACACCAGUGGCGAAGGCGGCUCACUGGCCCGGUACUGACGCUGAGGCGCGAAAGCGUGGGGAGCAAACAGG
rnacentral:rRNA from 1 species